GACGAACGCUGGCGGCGUGCCUAAUACAUGCAAGUAGAACGCACAGUUUAUACCGUAGCUUGCUACACCAUAGACUGUGAGUUGCGAACGGGUGAGUAACGCGUAGGUAACCUGCCUGGUAGCGGGGGAUAACUAUUGGAAACGAUAGCUAAUACCGCAUAAUAUUAAUUAUUGCAUGAUAAUUAAUUGAAAGGUGCAAUUGCACCACUACCAGAUGGACCUGCGUUGUAUUAGCUAGUAGGUGAGGUAACGGCUCACCUAGGCGACGAUACAUAGCCGACCUGAGAGGGUGAUCGGCCACACUGGGACUGAGACACGGCCCAGACUCCUAUGGGAGGCAGCAGUAGGGAAUCUUCGGCAAUGGACGAAAGUCUGACCGAGCAACGCCGCGUGAGUGAAGAAGGUUUUCGGAUCGUAAAGCUCUGUUGUAAGAGAAGAACGGGUGUGAGAGUGGAAAGUUCACACUGUGACGGUAUCUUACCAGAAAGGGACGGCUAACUACGUG
rnacentral:rRNA from 1 species